GAGAUGCGUUAUGUCAGUGCAAAAUUCAUGCUGUGUUUGCUGACUGCCGAUCAGAAACAGACCCGUGUUGAAAUCAGCCAGGAACUGCUUGCCACUGCCAAUGACAAUGAAAACUUCCUUAACAAAAUCAUAAUAGGUGAUAUUACAUGGGUUUAUGGCUGUGAUAUUGAAACGAAGGUGCAGUCGUUGCAGUGGUCGGGAGAACGGUC
rnacentral:lncRNA from 1 species